rnacentral:rRNA from 1 species
GACGGGGGAGGCAAGCGUUGUCCGGAAUUACUGGGUGUAAAGGGCAGGCAGGCGGACUCGCAAGUCCGGGGUGAAAUCCAUCGGCUCAACCGGUCGGACGGCCCUGGAAACUGCGAGCCUUGAGUCGAGCAGGGGAGAGGGGAAUUCCUGGUGUAGCGGUGAAAUGCGUAGAUAUCAGGAGGAACACCGGUGGCGAAGGCGCCUCUCUGGGCUCGCACUGACGCUCAUACUGCGAAAGCUGGGGG